GCUCCUGGUUCUCUCUUUCCUCAUCAGGACACCUGUGGCUUCCUACUCACCUGAAGCAGAUUCUGCAAUCACCUCUCCUGUCUUAAACCCCAGCUUUCCAACUAGUCUCUGGCAGAUCAUCUGUUCAUCCAAGUGGUAACACUUCCAACAGCCAGCCUUAGAGAUAACCGCUUCAGUCCCGGAAGCCCAGCCUGCCUGCCUAGCCGAGUUGUUUUGGACCAGCCUCUCGCAUGUCUGCCUGCACUCUGCCCCAGCCUCACAGUGGAUUUCAGAGCACCAUUCCUACCUGUUGUUCAAUAAAACCCCUGUACCUGUU